UACGGAAGGGGCAAGCGUUGUUCGGAAUCAUUUGGGCGUAAAGGGCGCGUAGGUGGUUCUGUAUGUCUACCGUGAAAGCGUACGGCUCAACCGUAUUUUGUCGGUGGAAACUGGCAGGACUUGAGGCUGGGGGGGCUGGUGGAAUUCCUGGUGUAGCGGUGAAAUGCGUAGAUAUCGUAAGGAAGACCAGUGGCGAAGGCGGGUCUCUGGACAGUUCCUGACGCUGAGGCACGAAGGUCAGGGGAGCAAACGGG
rnacentral:rRNA from 1 species